GGUAGUUCAGUACUGGCGCACGAGCAUCAGUCCGUCACGUACGUUCCACGACGAAAAUCGCUCCGAUUUUCCGAGGUUUUCAAGCAGGAGCGGCGGUCUCUUCGUUAAGCUGCAGUUAUUUCUCGGUUCUUCGGGUGUGCAUCAAUCCCCGGUAAAAGUUCGUAACCCAUCGCCAAGCAGUCUGCACGCGGCCUAUUCGGGAAACUCUUCGGCAACCCUCCCAUCACCGGACAAUACCUACCUCUGGGCCCGUCGGCAGCGGUCAUCAGGGAGAGUCUCUGCCCGAUUGCCAUGCCGGCAGGUACAGGCGCUUCGUACAGGUCGUUAGGAGACCUGGGCGAAGACGUCUACAAAAGCACAACCGUUGCGGACCAAACACAGAGCACUGGCCAGAGUGUUCUUGAGAGUGUCAAAAAGGCGUUCAGUUUUGCCUCACCCAAGGUCGAGAUACGGAAAAAGGAUCCCCUGAUAGAAGAUCAUAGGGAGUGCGUAUCGAUCGUAUCCAGGGACAGAAACAAGAUGCCCGCCGCAGCAAGUGCCGAAGAAUCAGCUCUGCUGGGCACCAUGCCUUCAGACAGUAUGGACGACAUUGAAUUGAAAAACAUCCAGCUCCAGUUCCCGGAAUUGAGAUAUCCCACCCGGGACGAGAAGCUGAUCCGGGAGGAGCGGGUUGAAACGGACAAAGGGACACUGUUGGUUGCCAUUCACGGAAAUCAGGGAAAACCUGCAAUUUUAACCUAUCACGACUUGGGCCUUAACUAUAUCUCGAGUUUCCAAGCAUUUUUCAAUUACAUCGACAUGCGCAUUCUUCUGGAGAACUUUUGUGUUUACCACGUAAAUGCCCCAGGACAAGAGGAAGGUGCCCCUACGUUGCCGGAAAACUACACUUAUCCGUCUAUGGACGAGCUCGCUGAACAGCUGCAGUUUGUCCUCGGUCAUUUUGGACUCAAGUCUGUGAUCGGCUUCGGAGUUGGUGCUGGCGCCAAUAUACUCUCGCGGUUUGCCCUGGUUCAUCCAGAAAAAGUUAACGCACUGUGCCUCAUCAACUGCGUCUCCACGCAGGCCGGUUGGAUUGAGUGGGGUUACCAAAAAUUGAAUGUCCGACACCUGCGGUCUCAGGGAAUGACGCAAGGUGUCCUGGAUUAUCUCAUGUGGCACCACUUCGGAAGGGGUACCGAGGAGCGCAAUCACGACUUGGUCCAAGUCUACAAGAGCUACUUUGAGCGACGAGUGAACCCAACGAAUCUGGCCCUUUUCAUCGACAGCUACGUUCGUCGCACGGACCUAAACAUCGUCCGCGAGUUGGAUCCUACCCGCAAGAAGGAGGGGUUGACUCUAGGAGUGCCCGUAAUCAACAUCACUGGUUCAUUGAGCCCGCACGUCGAAGAUACCGUGACGUUAAACGGUCGUCUAGAUCCGACCAACAGUUCCUGGAUGAAGAUCUCCGAUUGCGGAAUGGUGCUCGAAGAACAGCCGGGCAAAGUUAGCGAAGCUUUCCGACUAUUCCUUCAGGGCGAAGGAUACGUGGUGAAAGCCCCGCGGAAGCUUGUGACGUCGACAUCACUCGAAGGUAAUUGUAAUUAGGAAUUGAGGCCACGAGGAGUCAAGUGUUCCGCCAGUCAAUUAGGCCCCAUCUAAAUGUUAAUGGCUCCUCUGUCACCAACGAAGAUUUCCGACUACCGGUUGGCGUCGCUUUACCUGGAAAUCUGCAAUCAAAAGUCCGAGUGGCUAUCGGCGACUAUUCACAUCACCGAGAACCCCAUAUCAGAGGCAGUCGUUUGUUA
rnacentral:misc_RNA from 1 species